GACGAACGCUGGCGGCGUGCUUAACACAUGCAAGUCGAGCGGAGCGGCGAACGGGUGAGUAACGCGUGAGUAACUGCCCCCCUCUCUGGGAUAACAGUUGGAAACGGCUGCUAAUACCGGAUAGUGGGGGAUGACUCGCGUCCUAUCAGCUUGUUGGUGGGGUAGUGGCUUACCAAGGCGACGACGGGUAGCCGGCCUGAGAGGGCGACCGGCAACAGGUGUCUGAGUGACGGCCCAGACGCCUACGGGAGGCAGCAGGGGAGAAUAUGGCACAAUCGGGGAAACCCUGAUGCAGUAACGCCGGGUGCGGGAUGACGGGCUUCGGGUUGUAAACCGCUUUCAGCCAUGACGCGGUAGUGGCAGAAGAAGCACCGGCUAACUACGUGCCAGCAGCCGCGGUAAUAC
rnacentral:rRNA from 1 species